UACGUAGGGGGGCUAGCGUUGUCCGGAAUCAUUGGGCGUAAAGAGCGUGUAGGCGGCCCGGUAAGUCCGCUGUAAAAGUCAAAGGCUCAACCUUUGAAUGUCAGUGGAUACUGUCGGGCUAGAGUCCGGAAGAGGCGAGUGGAACUCCUGGUGUAGCGGUGGAAUGCGCAGAGUAUCAGGAGGAACACCGGUGGCGAAGGCGGUUCUCUGGGCAUUAUCUGACGCUGAGGAGCGAAAGCAUGGGGAGCGAACAGG
rnacentral:rRNA from 1 species